UAAUGUGGAUGUUGAUACAACCUAAAACCAGAAAACAGCAAAACAAAAGCAUAAAAUUCUGUAACAUGAAAUGCUCAACAAGAAGAGAGGCACAGCCCACAGUUCUGGAAACAUUUUUCCUUAGGUCUCAGAUGGAAAUAAGACUUCUGACUGAUCUCACUUGAAAUUGCUCCCCUUUGCCUUAACAAUGAACUCCUGGUCUGCACGUCUAUCGAAUAACCAAAAUGACUUGACAGCUCUUACAGCAACUAGGUUACUUCAAUGCUCCACAUUAAUCUUCAGGCUCCUUCCACAAAUCAUAAAAAGCAAGAGGAUGUCCUCAUACCACAUAAGGAAUAAGGAUGUGGAAGUAGAUUCCUGUUCAUUAGUAACUCAGGAGGAUAAACGACAUGUAGAAGCCUUGAUCAGUUUUAAGAUGGCAGAGCUGGCACCUCCUACAGCACUGCCCUUCAGGGAGAUCUAGAACCUGACCAGGGCUAGCAAGACCUCUGAAUAUCAGCAGUAUACAGACUAUCAGCUCUUUCUUUGUUUACUGCUUUUUCUGCUAUGGUCUCAACCUGCAGUAGAGACGGGAAAAAAGGCGAGGACAAGCCAACAACUGCUAUACAGCUUUUAGCUAUAUAACCAGAAAGAAGGGAUCAUCACUUCAUUGACCAAGAAGCUGAUAAACCUUUCCCUGAACUGGUCGUCAACCCACAGCACUGAAAACCUAAGCUUUCCUAUCUAGUAUGCAGACUCUUAUAUCCAGUGGUAGCACGUAAAAUGAAAAUGUGCUCAGUCAACAGUGAAAGGAAAAGUGGAAAAGAGACAUACAGAAUUAGUGCCCUGAACAGGAAGAAUGAAAAGAUGAAAAUUAUCUGGACAAGCAAGUAAUUAGAUAAACAAAACUUGUAUCUGAGGAAUCUCCUGCUUGCUUCUGUGUUCCCAAAGGAACCCAAGGUGGAAGCACAGGAUCGAAUAGUUUAAAAAAAUAAAAUAAAAAAUACCCCAAAAAUUCCCCGUGCAAGCUGUCCUCCUCUACCCAUUCUGGACAGACUGCAUUCUAUAUUGAAAUUUUGAAAUAAAGAAAUAGAGAAAUAUAUCAGUAACACUGAUUAUUCUCAUAUAGCCAUUUUGGAGUACCUUUGCUGUAAAAACACAUUUUUGCACUAAAAUAUUUGAUACUAAGGGUCACCAAAUGAAGGUGCUAGGUGCAGACUCAAGUCGCAUUUAAGCUACGCAGCUCCUAACCGAGGGAUAUUGUUGCUGCAGCCAAAAGCUUUUGAC